rnacentral:tRNA from 1 species
AGAGAUAUUAAGUAAAAUAUAAAAGCUUCUAACUUUUAAUAUAAGCGGUUAAAUUCCGUUUAUAUCUCUA